rnacentral:rRNA from 1 species
GCGUGAGUGACGAAGGCCCUAGGGUUGUAAAGCUCUUUCACCGGUGACGAUAGUGACGGUAGCCGGAGAAGAAGCCCCGGCUAACUCCGUGCCAGCAGCCGCGGUAAGACGGAGGGGGCUAGCGUUGUUCGGAAUCACUGGGCGUAAAGCGCGCGUAGGCGGCUGAUCAAGUUGGGCGUGAAAGCCCGGGGCUCAACCCCGGAAAUGCGCCCAAAACUGGUUAGCUAGAGACCGAGAGAGGGUGGUGGAAUUCCCAGUGUAGAGGUGAAAUUCGU